rnacentral:rRNA from 1 species
CUGCUGCCUUCCGUAGGAGUUUGGACCGUGUCUCAGUUCCAAUGUGGGGGACCUUCCUCUCAGAACCCCUAUCCAUCGUCGUCUUGGUGGGCCGUUACCCCGCCAACUAACUAAUGGAACGCAUCCCCAUCGAUAACCGAAAUUCUUUAAUAUCAAGAUCAUGCGAUCUUGAUAUCCUAUCGGAUAUUAAUCUUUCUUUCGAAAGGCUAUCCCCGAGUUAUCGGCAGGUUGGAUACGUGUUACUCACCCGUGCGCCGGUCGCCAUCGG